UGGCAGUGUACUGCUGCUGGCUGUUGUGUUUUUGACAGCUAUUGGCUACACUCCACC
rnacentral:pre_miRNA from 1 species